rnacentral:lncRNA from 1 species
AUCUCUUGCAGCUGAAUGUCUGACUGAUGAGAUUAUAAGCUUGUGGCAGUACGAGUCAAGAAAGGAAGAUAGUGACAUAUUUGUAGUGUCUACAGAGGACAGAAAAACAGCCCACACUUUUGCAGUCGUCCGUUGCCUCCUGUGUUACAGCUUCUCCUCCCAGUGCAUGCAGCUUACUUCUCUACCUCUUCAAUGUGGGUCGAAUAAUGACUUGAGGUUCCCACGAAGGAUCUGCGUUUGUGAAUGAGACCUGAGAGUGCCUGGCCACAGACCCGCUCUUGUCUUCUCAGUGAGACACGUAACG